rnacentral:rRNA from 1 species
UUGAAAGGGAAACGAUUGAAGUCAGUCGUACCGACGGAGAAUCAACCUUUGGAGUGCGAGUCGAGGUAUUCGAGGAGUUUAAAAGCCCUUGUGUGUUUCCGUAUCGUGCUUCUUGGGUGCUUUUCUUCGUAUGGUAGGUUAACAUCAAUUUUGGACGUUACAAAAUGACUGGGGGAAUGUAGCUUCGAUUUUUCGAAGUGUUAUAGCCCUUGGUAGAUGUGACGACCGGGAUUGAGGAUUGCAACGAAUGCUUUCGGGCUAUCCGUCUGACCUCUGGUGGUUGCUUUGGGGUCGAAAGCGUGCUUACGGCUUUAAAGUUGGCUAUCAAAAGGCUAGAACGUGAUUAAAUUCGUUAAGGAUGUUGACGUA